UCCACCGAUUGACUAAGGUUUCCAGAGGAAGGCUCGUCCGCUCUGGGUUAGUCGGGUCCUAAGCUGAGGCCGACAGGCGUAGGCGAUGGAUAACAGGUUGAUAUUCCUGUACCACCUAUAAUCGUUUUAAUCGAUGGGGGGACGCAGUAGGAUAGGCGAAGCGUGCGAUUGGAUUGCACGUCUAAGCAGUAAGGCUGAGUAUUAGGCAAAUCCGGUACUCGUUAAGGCUGAGCUGUGAUGGGGAGAAGACAUUGUGUCUUCGAGUCGUUGAUUUCACACUGCCGAGAAAAGCCUCUAGAUAGAAAAUAGGUGCCCGUACCGCAAACCGACACAGGUAGUCAAGAUGAGAAUUCUAAGGUGAGCGAGCGAACUCUCGUUAAGGAACUCGGCAAAAUGACCCCGUAACUUCGGGAGAAGGGGUGCUCUUUAGGGUUAACGCCCAGAAGAGCCGCAGUGAAUAGGCCCAAGCG
rnacentral:rRNA from 1 species